rnacentral:rRNA from 1 species
CCUACGGGAGGCAGCAGUGAGGAAUAUUGGUCAAUGGGCGGGAGCCUGAACCAGCCAAGCCGCGUGAGGGAAGAAGGUCCAGCGUAUCGUAAACCUCUUUUGUCAGGGAACAAAGCCGGGUACUCGUCCCCUGAUGAGUGUACCUUAUGAACAAGGAUCGGCUAACUCCGUGCCAGCAGCCGCGGUAAUACGGAGGAUGCGAGCGUUCUCCGGAUUUAUUGGGUUUAAGGGGUGCGCAGGCGGCCUGUUAAGUCAGCGGUAAAAGCCCGGGGCUCAACCCCGGCGAGCCGUUGAAACUGGCGGGCUGGAGUUGGAGAGAAGUAAGCGGAAUGCGCGGUGUAGCGGUGAAAUGCUUAGAUAUCGCGCAGAACCCCGAUUGCGAAGGCAGCGUACCGGCUCCAAACUGACGCUGAGGCACGAAAGCGUGGGUAUCGAACAGGAUUAGAUACCCGGGUAGUC